rnacentral:lncRNA from 1 species
UAGGGGUAAAAUUAUUAUUUCAUUUAAAUUAUUUAACAGUGUUAGUGUAAAAGUUGUUAAUUGAUAUAAAUUUAAAAAAAAAAGUGAUGCAGUGAACAUGUUAGAAAUUUAUGGUGAUUGGAUGAACAUAAGGCAAAAGAAAGGUAGUGCAAUGAUAAUUUUCCUUUAAUUAAAGGUAUUUUGAAUAUUUUCAACAAUUCAUUUUGAUUACAUGACAAAGUAAACAUAACAAUGGGAAUACAUUGAUUCUGAUUCUAAUUCUAAUUCCAAUUCGUACAGCUGAAGCAAACAACACACCACAAAUAUUUAUUCAGAUUGUCAUACUCUAUUUGGAUUCCAUGUCAUUCUUGUUCCAAAUUUGUAAAGGCUCCGUAAAUAAGUUGAAAACACAUUUAGUCCCUAUAUUUUAAGUUUAGUGCCCCUUUAGUUCUCUUAUUUUUUAAAAUAUCCCAUAACAUUCUUGCUAUUAAAUUAUUAACACAUUUCCAUUACUUUUUAUUCCUUUUAGUUUGCUUUUAUAAUAUCACCCUCUUAUAAUAAUGUUUCUUUUUUCUUUUCGGACAUUAAUAAGAAGAAAGAAUUA